rnacentral:rRNA from 1 species
GACGAACGCUGGCGGCGUGCCUAAUACAUGCAAGUCGAGCGAAGUUUUUCUGGUGCUUGCACCGGAAAAACUUAGCGGCGAACGGGUGAGUAACACGUAAAGAACCUGCCUCAUAGACUGGGACAACUAUUGGAAACGAUAGCUAAUACCGGAUAACAGCAUUAACUGCAUGGUUGAUGUUUAAAAGUUGGUUUUGCUAACACUAUGAGAUGGCUUUGCGGUGCAUAGCUAGUUGGUGGGGUAAAGGCCUACCAAGGCGACGAUGCAUAGCCGACCUGAGAGGGUGAUCGGCCACACUGGGACUGAGACACGGCCCAGACUCCUACGGGAGGCAGCAGUAGGGAAUCUUCCGCAAUGGGCGAAAGCCUGACGGAGCAACGCCGCGUGAGUGAAGAAGGAUUUCGGUUCGUAAAGCUCUGUUGUUAGGGAAGAAUGAUUGUGUAGUAACUAUACACAGUAGAGACG